AACUACGUGCCAGCAGCCGCGGUAAUACGUAGGGGGCAAGCGUUAUCCGGAUUUACUGGGUGUAAAGGGAGCGUAGACGGCUAAUCAAGUCAGAAGUGAAAACCCAGGGCUCAACCUUGGGAGUGCUUUUGAAACUGAGUAGCUAGAGUGCAGGAGAGGUAAGCGGAAUUCCUAGUGUAGCGGUGAAAUGCGUAGAUAUUAGGAGGAACACCAGUUGCGAAGGCGGCUCUCUGGACUGUAACUGACACUGAGGCACGAAAGCGUGGGGAGCAAACAGGAUUAGAAACCCGUGUAGUCCGCAAGAU
rnacentral:rRNA from 1 species